rnacentral:lncRNA from 1 species
AAAAUGAACUGUUCUGAGAACAUCUUCAAAAAGUAAUGCCAGACUGUGAGACACCUAUGGUGAAUAAUGUCUUUCCUCAUGCAGUGAAGUACUUCUUUGUGGGGUUACCAUCUUAUAACAACAUUUGGAAAUGAUAAAAGGAUAAAAUGAG